AUUGAACGCUGGCGGCAGGCCUAACACAUGCAAGUCGAACGGUAGCACAGAGAGCUUGCUCUCGGGUGAUGAGUGGCGGACGGGUGAGUAAUGUCUGGGAAACUGCCCGAUGGAGGGGGAUAACUACUGGAAACGGUAGCUAAUACCGCAUAACGUCGCAAGACCAAAGUGGGGGACCUUCGGGCCUCACACCAUCGGAUGUGCCCAGACGGGAUUAGCUAGUAGGUGGGGUAAUGGCUCACCUAGGCGACGAUCCCUAGCUGGUCUGAGAGGAUGACCAGCCACACUGGAACUGGGACACGGUCCAGACUCCUACGGGAGGCAGCAGUGGGGAAUAUUGCACAAUGGGCGCAAGCCUGAUGCAGCCAUGCCGCGUGUAUGAAGAAGGCCUUCGGGUUGUAAAGUACUUUCAGCGGGGAGGAAGGCGGUGAAGUUAAUAACUUCACCGAUUGACGUUACCCGCAGAAGAAGCACCGGCUAACUCCGUGCCAGCCGCCGCUGUAA
rnacentral:rRNA from 1 species